ACGUUUUUGUUCCCUCUUCCUAGGAGGUGCAAACAGAGGCCAUGUUUACAAACCAUCAAAAGCAGAGGAUCCAUCAUUGCGAACGAGCACUGCACUGCAAUUGAACCCACCACCCACCCCAUGGACGACUGAACUCUGUGACUGUUAGAACUGAAGGAGCAGGGUCACAUAAAUGCUGAAGAAAGAGAGAAUCGGACAGCUUGUCCUAACUGCACGCCAUCAUGUGUUAGCACAGCCUGCAUGGCCUUCGGGGCUUCUUCGCCUCUGGAACACUGUCUUCC